UACCAGCAGCCCCGAGUGGUCGGGACGAUUAUUGGGCCUAAAGCAUCCGUAGCCGGUCCUGCAAGUCUUCCGUUAAAUCCAGCUGCUCAACAGAUGGGCUGCGGGGAUACUACAGGGCUAGGAGGCGGGAGAGGCAAGCGGUACUUUAUGGGUAGGGGUAAAAUCCGUUGAUCCAUAGAAGACCACCAGUGGCGAAGGCGGCUUGCCAGAACGCGCUCGACGGUGAGGGAUGAAGCUGGGGAGCAAACCGG
rnacentral:rRNA from 1 species